GGACCCCUUGCCCAGCGCGGCAUUCAGAGGGGGCAGCUCCGGCCGUCUGCUCAGGAGUGGGGUGGCAUGGAGAGCUGCCUCUGGAGCCCUGUGCUGAAGGAGAGGACCCUUGAGGGAGAAGGACAUCACCCAGGUCGUGGGGCCUUUGGAGAAAGUAGGAAACCUGCCUGUUCUACAGGAGAUGAGACCACCUCACCUACUUCGAAGGAUGCCCUUGUUUAGAGCAGAUCUCACAAUUGGUGCCCUGAGGGCUCCAGGCCUUGGCCCUGCUGGUAGAUUAAAGUGGCACAACCUGCCCUGAUGCCUGAGUGUCACAGCAACAACAGCUACAUGGCUAGACACCGGCCCCUUCACCCCACCUUCCAGGGGAGCACAGCUCCCCAGAUAUGGUGCUGAGGGAGGUCAGUGGGAUGGCCCCACCAUGGCCUCCCUGCAGACUGCUCUGCACUGAGGACUGUCCCCAUCCCCUUCCGAGGAGGGUCUCAACUGGUGUCCCAGAGAGUGCAGUCAACUCCCUGUUACUCCCAGAAGCAGGGCCUGGGGGCCAUGCUCAGGACUGGGAAAGAGGAAGGCAGUGCCUGGCAAGGUCACUCCCUUGGUGGGGAGAAGGGCCUGCCACCACCCAAUCCCCACCUUCUCUGUUUUAAUUCAAGAUGCACGGGGCUGGGUGGGGGGAGGGGUGAAGGCAGGCCCAGGUGCAGACUUUCUGCAUCACUGCAUCUAGUGGAAAGAAGCUGUUGGUCUGCUUCUGGACCCUCGUGUCCUGGGACUUGGGUCUCUAUGUUCCUUACAGGCAGGAACUGCUCUACGGCUCUAUCUCUAGUCCAGACACAGGCCUAACAGAGCAUGUGCUCAGAAAGUAUCUUUUGGGGCCGGGCGCGGUGGCUCAAGCCUGUAAUCCCAGCACUUUGGGAGGCCGAGACGGGCGGAUCACGAGGUCAGGAGAUCGAGACCAUCCUGGCUAACACGGUGAAACCCCGUCUCUACUAAAAAAUACAAAAACUAGCCGGGCGGUGGCGAGCUGUAGUCCCAGCUACUCGGGAGGCUGAGGCAGGAGAAUGGUAAACCGGAGGCGAGGCUUGCAGUGAGCCGAGAUCGCGCCACUGCACUCCAGCCUGGGUGACAGAGCCAGACUCCGUCUCAAAAAAAAAAAAAAAGAAAAAAAAAG
rnacentral:lncRNA from 1 species